rnacentral:rRNA from 1 species
UACGUAUGGGGCAAGCGUUAUCCGGAUUUACUGGGUGUAAAGGGAGCGUAGGCGGCGGGGCAAGCCUGAUGUGAAAGCCCGGGGCUCAACCCCGGGACUGCAUUGGGAACUGCCCUGCUGGAGUGCCGGAGGGGCAGGCGGAAUUCCUAGUGUAGCGGUGAAAUGCGUAGAUAUUAGGAGGAACACCAGUGGCGAAGGCGGUCUGCUGGACAGCAACUGACGCUGAGGCGCGAAAGCGUGGGGAGCAAACAGG